UCAGAUUGAACGCUGGCGGCGUGCUUAACACAUGCAAGUCGCGCGUGAAAGGACUUCGGUCCGAGUAAAGCGGCGCACGGGUGAGUAACGCGUGGAUGAUCUACCCAUGAGUUAGGAAUAACGGCUGGAAACGGUCGCUAAUACCAAAUACGCUCCGAUUUCAACUUCGGGGGAAAGGUGGCCUCUGCUUGCAAGCUACUGCUCAUGGAUGAGUCCGCGUCCCAUUAGCUAGUUGGUGGGGUAACGGCCCACCAAGGCGACGAUGGGUAGCCGGUCUGAGAGGAUGACCGGCCACACUGGGACUGGAACACGGCCCAGACUCCUACGGGAGGCAGCAGUGGGGAAUAUUGCGCAAUGGGCGAAAGCCUGACGCAGCGACGCCGCGUGAGGGAUGAAGGUCCUCGGAUCGUAAACCUCUGUCAGGAGGGAAGAACCGCCACGGUGCUAAUCAGCCGUGGUCUGACGGUACCUCCAAAGGAAGCACCGGCUAACUCCGUGCCAGCAGCCGC
rnacentral:rRNA from 1 species